AUGGGCCAUCUGGGGAGACAGGAACAAUAGAUUGCAUAAAAAAGAUGGUAAAUCUGGAAAAGAAGUAGGGAGAUUUGUUCAUAGCUAUAUUUCAGAUCUUGAUGCAGUUGGUAAAAAUAGGUUGCAAUCUUCCAUACCUGUAAUAAUAUGGACAAAGCCAGUGGACAAGGUAGUCAAAAUCAAUUUCAAUGCAGAGUACGACGGUAGACAAAGUAAAGCGACUAUUGGGGUUGUGGCCCGCGAUAAGGAGGGUUCAGUUCUUCUAUCAUGUACGGAGGUUCAUCAAAGAGUUCCCUCAGCCUUUGGGGCGGAAGCAAUAGCGUGUCGGAAAACCCUCCAGAUCGGCGUUAACAUGCAGUGGGAAAGAGUUAUUAUUGAAGGGGAUUCUUUAUCAAUAAUAAGAAAAUGUAAAACAAAAAGCCCCGAUAAAUCAUUGAUUAGUGCGUAUUUACAUGAUAUUCAUCAACUUCUGAUUAAAUUCAAGGAGUGUAGGUUUGAGCAUAUCCCAAGAUUAGCAAACAACCUUGCGCAUAUAUUAGCAAAUGAAGCGCUGAAGAGUAGUAGAGGAGCCUACCUGGUCGGACGAGUCCCUGAAGCGGCAGAAAUCCAAGCAGAAACUGAGAGGGCAAAAGAACCAGAUUGAAGGAAGAAAGCGAUAAAUGAAGGGAUGAGAGUAUAGAGAAGGGCAGACAUCAAAGUUAUUUCAGCAGCCCUAGAGUAAUCUCAAGCGUCUUGGAAAAGUAAAUAAAAUUGAAGAGAUAAGACGUUUGUAGUCUUUUAAGACUGAUU
rnacentral:lncRNA from 1 species